CUGGUUGAUCCUGCCAGUAGGGCAAGCUAUUCUCGAAGAUUAAGCCAUGUAUGUGCCAAGUUCAUACGUUUUUACGUGAGACUGCGGACGGCUCAGUAUAUCAGUGAUUAUCUAUUUGAUUGUAUCUCCCAUUGGAUAACCGUGGGAAAUCUAGAGCUAAUACAUGUAGUUAAUUGGCGUAUCUUCGGGUACGUCAAAGCAUUUAUUAGAUUAAACCAUCUACUACUCUGUAGUAAGACGAAUCUAGAUAACUUGUCUGAUCGUAUGGCCUCGUGCCGGCGACGUUUCAAUUGAGUUUCUGCCCUAUCAACUUGUUGGUAAGGUAUUGGCUUACCAAGGUUGCAACGGGUAACGGGGAAUCAGGGUUCGAUUCCGGAGAGGGAGCCUGAGAAACGGCUACCACAUCCAAGGAAGGCAACAGGCGCGCAAAUUACCCAAUCUAGACAGUAGGAGGUGGUGAAGAGAAUUACUAAGUGGUGGUUCAAUGAACUACCAACUUGGAAUGGACGUAACUUAAGCAAUUCGUUGAGAAACAACUGGAGGGCAAGUCCUGGUGCCAGCAGCCGCGGUAAUUCCAGCUCCAGUAGUUUGCUUUAAAGUUGUUGCGUUUAAAACGCUCGUAGUUGGAUCAUGCAACAGUGUACGGUAAUCUAUUCAUUAGACCAGAUAUUUCGAGGAGUCGUUGAAAGACGACACUUGUGAUCUGGACUGUGAUAGAUAUAAAAGCUGAACACUGUUAAUUGCGUGUGAGAUGGAUUGUUGACCUUUAGUGAGUCGGUAAUCCUGUCUCGCGGGAUGUGCCUUGAAUAAAACAGAGUGCUUAAAGCAGGUUGAUGCCUGAAUGUUAUAGCAUGGAACGAACAAUAGUGUAUACGUAUGCGAUUUUCAAUAGUGACAGGCCUAUGGCUUGCCACUGUUGGGGGCGCGUACAUCACCCACCAAAAUAUGGCUGUUGGUUCCAUAUACGGUGAUGAUUAAAAGGAGCGGUUGGGGGCAUCGGUAUUUGGCCGCGAGAGGUGAAAUUCUUGGACCGGCCAAGGACUAACAAAUGCAAAGGCACUUGUCUAGACCGUUUCCAUUAAUCAAGAACGAAAGUGGGAGGUUCGAAGACGAUCAGAUACCGUCCUAGUUCCCACUGUAAACUAUGCCGACCUGGGAUCAGUUUAGAGAUGCUACAAGCUCUAAAUUGGUCCCCCUGGGAAACCUCAAGUUUUUCGGUUACGGGGAGAGUAUGGUCGCAAGGCUGAAACUUAAAGGAAUUGACGGAAGGGCACCACCAGGGGUGGAGCCUGCGGCUUAAUUUGACUCAACACGGGGAAACUUACCUGGUCCGGACAUCGAUAGGAUACACAGACCAAUAGAUCUUUGUUGAUGCGAUGAGUGGUGGUGCAUGGCCGUUCUUAGUUCGUGGAGUGAUCUGUCGGCUUUACUGCGGUAACGAACGAGACCACAGUCUCCAUUUAAGAAACAGAAAAAGACAACCUAUUGCUGGGACUAGUCUCACCCAGUAGGUUGUUGUUGGUUAGAGUUGUGGCUAUAUAGCAACGUUGUGGAAGAGCAAUCUUAAAUAGCGAAGCUGUAUGGCUGUGCCUUUUCCUUUCUGUCAAGUAGUAACUGGUUUACACUAGUUGCUGCCUUAUGGAGAGACAACGAGGUAUAAUCAAGCUCGAGGAAGAGUGGCUAUAACAGGUCAGUGAUGCCCUUCGAUGUUCAGGGCUGCACGCGCGCUACAAUGAUAACGACAACGAGUAUCCGCGUCGAAAGACGUAGGUAAUCUUUAAUCGUUAUCGUGAUGGGGAUUGACCGUUGUAAUUUUCGGUCAUGAAAGAGGAAUCCCUAGUAUGCAUAUUUUAUUAGAAUGUGCAGAUUGAGUCCCUGCCCUUUGUACACACCGCCCGUCGCUACUACCGAGUGAAUGGUGUCAUGAUGCCCUGGGACUGGACGUCUAGCGGGAUUAACCUCUUGCAAGAUGCUAGAAUCAGUGUAAAAUGGCGCAAGUUCGAGGAAGUAAAAGUCGUAACAAGGUUUCCGUAG
rnacentral:rRNA from 1 species